rnacentral:rRNA from 1 species
UACAGAGGUCUCAAGCGUUGUUCGGAUUCAUUGGGCGUGAAAGGGUGCGUAGGCGGCGCGGUAAGUCGGGUGUGAAAUCUCGGAGCUUAACUCCGAAACUGCAUUCGAUACUGCCGUGCUUGAGGACUGGAGAGGAGACUGGAAUUUACGGUGUAGCGGUGAAAUGCGUAGAUAUCGUAAGGAAGACCAGUGGCGAAGGCGGGUCUCUGGACAGUUCCUGACGCUGAGGCACGAAGGCCAGGGGAGCAAACGGG